rnacentral:rRNA from 1 species
UACGAAGGGGGCUAGCGUUGUUCGGAUUUACUGGGCGUAAAGCGCACGUAGGCGGGUCGUUUAAGUCGGGGGUGAAAUCCUGGAGCUCAACUCCAGAACUGCCUUCGAUACUGGCGACCUAGAGUCCGGAAGAGGUGAGUGGAACUCCUAGUGUAGAGGUGGAAUUCGUAGACAUUAGGAAGAACACCAGUGGCGAAGGCGGCUCACUGGUCCGGUACUGACGCUGAGGUGCGAAAGCGUGGGGAGCAAACAGG